rnacentral:rRNA from 1 species
UAUCGGAACGUGCCCAAUCGUGGGGGAUAACGUAGCGAAAGCUACGCUAAUACCGCAUACGAUCUACGGAUGAAAGCGGGGGAUCGCAAGACCUCGCGCGAAUGGAGCGGCCGAUGGCAGAUUAGGUAGUUGGUGGGGUAAAGGCUCACCAAGCCUGCGAUCUGUAGCUGGUCUGAGAGGACGACCAGCCACACUGGGACUGAGACACGGCCCAG